rnacentral:lncRNA from 1 species
UCCAUUUUACUCUCAAAGAAGACAAGGACCAGUUCUAGUUAGGCUUGAUCGAGUUAAGGGGUCUUUAGGCACUAAAAAAAGGCGCUGGAAAUGCUGUCUCAUUUACUCGCCGAUUUAGUUUAAAAAGAGAAUCAUUCUGAGGCUCUAUCACAUGAUACUAGUAGUUCUUCUGCUAUGCUCAAUACUUCAGGUAUGGGUGAUUGGGACGAAGAGCAUGAGCCAUUUUGUGCAUAGAUAUAGGAUCGGCUGUUGGGAAACAUACAUUAGUGUUAGUGUGGUAUGGUUGACCGAAGGAUGAUCAGUUACAGACAGAUCGUCAUGUGAUUUGUGCUGAAUUUCGAUUCAAUCCCAGUUUUGAGUCCUGUAAUCGUAACUCAAGUUUAUUAGUUACUAGAUACAGAAGCUCGUACUAGCAUUUUUCUUGUACUGGUAUAUUACCAUCACAGUACUGCCAUAUUUUUGUCGGCAUCACUGGGCACAGUUGGGAAGAGGUACACAGAUACAGGAGGCUCCUCACCAUCCCAAUAUCUAUUCAACCCUAUAUACAUAAUGUUUAUAUUUUUAAAAAUUUAGAAUAAUAUUUUUGUAUUUACUUCUUCCAGUA